rnacentral:rRNA from 1 species
UACGAAGGGGGCUAGCGUUGCUCGGAAUCACUGGGCGUAAAGGGCGCGUAGGCGGCCAUUCAAGUCGGGGGGUGAAAGCCUGUGGCUCAACCACAGAAUUGCCUUCGAUACUGUUUGGCUUGAGUUUGGUAGAGGUUGGUGGAACUGCGAGUGUAGAGGUGAAAUUCGUAGAUAUUCGCAAGAACACCAGUGGCGAAGGCGGCCAACUGGACCAACACUGACGCUGAGGCGGCGAAAAGCGUGGGGAGCAAACAGG